GUUCUAAUGGUAAAGUUAAUUAAUGACAGAUUAUAGACUGCCUCCUAAGCUGUAGGUCGUGAGUUCGAAUCUCGCCUGGGACG
rnacentral:tRNA from 3 species